rnacentral:rRNA from 1 species
UACGUAGGGUGCAAGCGUUAUCCGGAAUUAUUGGGCGUAAAGAGCUCGUAGGCGGUUUGUCGCGUCUGCUGUGAAAACUGGAGGCUCAACCUCCAGCCUGCAGUGGGUACGGGCAAACUAGAGUGCGGUAGGGGAGAUUGGAAUUCCUGGUGUAGCGGUGGAAUGCGCAGACAUCAGGAGGAACACCGAUGGCGAAGGCAGAUCUCUGGGCCGUAACUGACGCUGAGGAGCGAAAGCAUGGGGAGCGAACAGG